GAUGAACGCUGGCGGCGUGCUUAACACAUGCAAGUCGAACGGGAAUUAUUUUAUUGAAACUUCGGUCGAUUUAAUUUAAUUCUAGUGGCGGACGGGUGAGUAACGCGUGGGUAACCUGCCUUAUACAGGGGGAUAACAGUCAGAAAUGGCUGCUAAUACCGCAUAAGCGCACAGAGCUGCAUGGCUCAGUGUGCAAAACUCCGGUGGUAUAAGAUGGACCCGCGUUGGAUUAGCUGGUUGGUGGGGUAACGGCCCACCAAGGCGACGAUCCAUAGCCGGCCUGAGAGGGUGAACGGCCACAGUGGGACUGAGACACGGCCCAGACUCCUACGGGAGGCAGCAGUGGGGAAUAUUGCACAAUGGGGGAAACCCUGAUGCAGCGACGCCGCGUGAAGGAAGAAGUAUCUCGGUAUGUAAACUUCUAUCAGCAGGGAAGAUAGUGACGGUACCUGACGAAGAAGCCCCGGCUAACUACGUG
rnacentral:rRNA from 1 species